rnacentral:ncRNA from 1 species
UAAUUGCACUGGGAUUCAGUUGUAUAUAUUCGUGGUAAGAACAAAUAUUUUCAUUAUUUUCUAUUUAUGUUAAUAUGGCUUAUAUCAACUUAAGAUGGCUAAGUUUGUUACUUAAGUCUAUUGCUUUUAAAGACACAAAGUUAAUAAAUAUAAUGGUGCAUGGAAUAAUGGAAAUAGGACCUCGGUUCUAUUUUGUUGGUUUUCGGAGGGCGAGGUAAUGAUUAAGAGGGACAAACGGGGGCAUUCGUACUGUGCCGUUAGAGGUAAGAUAGGAUCGCCGCAAGACGAACGCGAAAGCAUUUGCCAAGAAUGUUUUCUUUAAUCAA